UACAGAGGUCUCAAGCGUUUGUUCGGAUUCAUUGGGCGUAAAGGGUGCGUAGGCGGCGCGGUAAGUCGGGUGUGAAAUCUCGGGCUUAACUCCGAAACUGCAUUCGAUACUGCCGUGCUUUGAGGACUGGAGAGGAGACUGGAAUUUACGGUGUAGCGGUGAAAUGCGUAGAUAUCGUAAGGAAGACCAGUGGCGAAGGCGGGUCUCUGGACA
rnacentral:rRNA from 1 species